GUCAGGUCAGUAUUUCCCUUACGUCUGGGGCUACAAACACGCUACAAUGGCCGGUACAAAGGGCAGCCAAGUCGCGAGACGGAGCAAAUCCCAUCAAAGCCGGUCCCAGUUCGGAUUGCAGGCUGAAACUCGCCUGCAUGAAGCCGGAAUCGCUAGUAACGGUAGGUCAGCACACUACCGUGAAUACGUUCCCGGGUCUU
rnacentral:rRNA from 1 species